rnacentral:lncRNA from 10 species
GGAGUUUUCCUGCACAAGCUCUCUUUGCUUGCUGCCAUCCAUGUAAGAUGUGACUUGCUCCUCCUUGCCUUCCACCAUGAUUGUGAGGCUACCCCAGCCACAUGGAACUGUUGACAUGGAUUUUAUUCAACAGACAAGCUGACAUUUAUCAAGAUGCUUUCAAUUACACCAAAAGAAAUAGAAGUCUUCGUCUUAUUGCUGUUUAUGUGGCAGUAUUGUUCUCCUACAAUAAGUUGAUGGAAAUGAGUUGUUUUGUUUUUCAUUUUAGCCAUUUUACAAGUAAGUUUGCUAUUGUUGUUGCUGUUUUUAGAAUAAAAUGAUUUUACCAAUAACAUUGAGUGGCUAUACCUUUCCUUAAUAAUGGGAAAUUUUAUAAAUUUGGCUGCUUAAUGACAUGAUUUAGAAGUUUGCACUCUGCUCACUUUUGAUUUGACCUUGCAAUUACCAAGUUAAAUAAAAAUGACUUUUAUAAGGACAUGAAUCCAAUUGAAACUUCGCAAGAUUGGAAUCUUUUAAUUUUUGAAAGUUGUGUUC